GAUGAACGCUGGCGGCGUGCUUAACACAUGCAAGUCGAACGAUGAAGCCCAGCUUGCUGGGUGGAUUAGUGGCGAACGGGUGAGUAACACGUGAGUAACCUGCCCUUAACUCUGGGAUAAGCCUGGGAAACUGGGUCUAAUACCGGAUAGGAGCGUCCACCGCAUGGUGGGUGUUGGAAAGAUUUAUCGGUUUUGGAUGGACUCGCGGCCUAUCAGCUUGUCGGUGAGGUAAUGGCUCACCAAGGCGACGACGGGUAGCCGGCCUGAGAGGGUGACCGGCCACACUGGGACUGAGACACGGCCCAGACUCCUACGGGAGGCAGCAGUGGGGAAUAUUGCACAAUGGGCGCAAGCCUGAUGCAGCGACGCCGCGUGAGGGAUGACGGCCUUCGGGUUGUAAACCUCUUUCAGUAGGGAAGAAGCGAAAGUGACGGUACCUGCAGAAGAAGCACCGGCUAACUACGUG
rnacentral:rRNA from 1 species